rnacentral:lncRNA from 1 species
GGUCUCGAUCACUGAUCUCCUAGCUGAGGUCUAUCAAUAGCCACCUGAAGAUGUCUUGUACUCAACAAAGAACAAGCAAGUGCAGUAUUAAUACACAACCACUGUGUAUUGGUAGGAUCACACGACUAUUCAAGUAAGUGAAACAUAUAUAGAAUGUCACAACAUAGUAAACAUGACAUGCACAGAAUAUAUACACGGUUAUCAUUUCAAGAUUAAUGUACAA